ensembl:miRNA MIR10383 microRNA mir-10383
GCCCACAGCCAGGGCUGCAGGCACUGACAUUCACCCAUGGUAUUGUGGUGCCUGACGUCUUGGCAGUGGGC